UGGUUUUAUUUGUGUUUUGUUUUUUUAUAAGUUAUUUAUAGUAAAGUUUAUGGUUAAUCUGUCAAAUAUCAAGCCUCAAUUACAUUCUUUGUCAUAAGAAUUAUAAUGGCGACAUAUUAGGUCUCAUUGAACUUUGUUUCCUCGACAGAAUGCUCAGCGUUUCUGUAUCGAUAUCGGCAUCAGCCACCAGAACGUCAAGUUGUGCAGUUUUUUCCGGAUGAAAAUCUAACAAAGACGCUGAAGCCGGAAUUGAUCCGUGAUUGUUUUGCGUGCGUGCUUGCGUGCGUGCGUGCGUGCGUGCGCGUGCGUGCGUGCGCGUGCGUGCGUGCGUGUGUGUGUGUGCGUGUGCGCGCUCAGAUUUCACUGAAAACUAAGACACAGCGAGUUGUUCCGAGGCUGUAACUUUCCUCCUCUGGUGGAUGGAAAAGUUAUGAAACGAUAUAAAGUUUCCUCUGUCUUUUGUUCUGAGGCACAGAUUCGUCUGUCGUCCAUCUGCACUAUGUGUCCGGUGACGAGACCCGCGACAGGGACUUGAGCUGCGUCACUGACGGAGGAACGAUGAGUCGUGUUUGAACGUUGUAGUUUGAAGCUUCAUUGUUUUAUUCUGCUGCGCUGCUGCCGUUUCUUAUCACGGGGGGGAAACGUGGGGAGGCCGCGCCGCUAUCUCGCUCUGCAGUCGACGUGUUGCACGGCGGGAACAGUCGCUUCUGCUCCUAUCGCAGACUGUCAGAGCUCGGCCUUCGCUCGGAGGCCGUUCUGCAGAGUCGUCACUGUCCACAGCCUCGGCGCUAAAAAGUCACAAUCGGAUGCAAACAGAAACAACAAACCUCUUCCAACGCACGAGAUGCAACAUCUGCACCGUGUUUGAUUUUAAACUUCACCUUUAACUGCUGUUGUUCGACUUGAGCAUCGGGAGCACGUCCGGACUCUGCUCGUCACCGCGUCGCCCCCGUGGCCCCCGUGUGGAUCGGUGAGGGAACAGAAGGAGCAAGAGAAAUGUGUGUUUCUCCUGGUGAGUGGGAGCACGAGGCCGAGGACGUGAUAUCAGCUGACAGAGCGUCUUUGUCUGAGAGGAACAGAGACCUGAGCAGCCUUGACUGAUGUAACCACUCCCCGUGACAACAUGUUCCUGUAUCAAUGCCGACUGUUGGAAAUAUUAAUCAUAUAAAGAAAACACACUCCUGUCAGAGUGCCCGCUGUGCGGAAGCCCCACAGACGACAUGGAAAUAUGGAUGAUGCUGCUCCGGUCGACAGGUGUUUGUGAUCCAGGCGUGUGCGGAUGAUUACAGCGUUCCGUCUCGCCGACACGUCGCGGCCUCGGAGACGCUGAGAGACGUGACGCACACGACAAACACACACUGAUACUGUACAAAUCAACUCUUCAUUGAAGAAAGGACAAUGAAUACAUGUGUAUGCAAAUAUUUAGCAGAGGGAGAAAAUCUAUUUUUUUCCUCAGGGAUGCGUGUGGCAGAAUAUUGGUGUAUGUGUUUACAUAUAUAUAUAUAUACAGUAUAUAUAUAUGUGUGUUUUACAUAUAUUUGUAGAGUUGAAUGAAUGAGUCCUCGUCUCACUGUAUCCAGAACUGUGACUGUGGCCACGUUCCCUCUGUCCACAUGGAGAUUCCACAAUAUUAAAGCUACGGUGUGUCAUAUUUAGAAGAACUUUUUCACAGAAAUUGAA